rnacentral:lncRNA from 1 species
AAGAUACUGAAGUGCAGAGAAGUUACUGCCCGAGGUCACCUGGCUGCAGUGUGAGACUUGAACCAGAACUCCUGGACUCGGCCACAGAUGCUGUACCUCCCAGAGGUUCAGGAAGAUGUCCUGCUUUCACCUGCACAUCCUGGCCAUUCCUGGGCUUUCUGCAUUACAGAAUUGACAAGGAGAAGGUUACAGAUAGUCUGAUAGGACAGAGUUGCUGGUGUGUGGGGCCACAGCUGGAGUUGAGUGAGGGUGAAGCCUGGAGUCCUUUCCUGGACCCCAGAGACAGAACAGUGAAGAGUGCAUGUCAGAGAGAUGGUGAAGACAGGAGGAGGAAGUGGAAGUGAAGAUGACCAGGAGAGUGAGGGGGCAGGAGGAGAGCCGAGAAAAUGGGAGAACGAAGGGGGCUGGAAGGGUACUCAACAUGCAAUGUGUAUUUAUAUGAAAAUUUAACUUAA